rnacentral:tRNA from 1 species
UUUGGAUUGGCAGAAAUUGUUUUAUGCAUUAAAUUUAGGUUUUAAUUAAGUAUUUAUACAUUCAUUA